UUAGGAAUAUUCGUCAAUGGGGGAAACCCUGAACGAGCAAUGCCGCGUGAAGGAUGACGGUCCUAUGGAUUGUAAACUUCUGUUGUUAGGGAAGAACGUCUUGUAGUGGAAAUACUACAGGAGUGACGGUACCUUUCAAGAAAGCUCCGGCUAACUACGUGCCAGCAGCCGCGGUAAUACGUAGGGAGCGAGCGUUAUCCGGAUUUAUUGGGUGUAAAGGGUGCGUAGGCGGUUUAACAGGUCUAUGGUUUAAGUCCGAAGCUUAACUUCGGUUCGCCAUAGAAACCAUUUUACUUGAGCAUGGUAGAGGCAAGUGGAAUUUCUAGUGUAGCGGUUAAAUGCGUAGAUAUUAGAAGGAACAUCAGUGGCGAAGGCGACUUGCUGGGCCAUUGCUGACGCU
rnacentral:rRNA from 1 species